UUGAUUUGGCAGCACAAAUACUAAAAUAUUGGAACAAUACUGAGAAGAUUAGUAUGGCCCAUGCACAAGGAUGUUAAGCAAAUUCGUGAAGCAUUCUAGAAAAAA